CAUUCCUUCACUGGCAUUGGAGCCUACUUCUUUUGAAUUCCAGCACAUACGGAAGACCAGCUGAGACACCCAGCCCAUGGGACUGAACAACAACUUAGAUUCUUGAAUUUUUCAUCCAUAACUACCUAUUGUUGGAUAAAUUGAACUGCAGCCUCCCCUCGCUCAGACAUGGUGAACGGGUAUUGGUAACACGGGUGUUACUGCAACAAAUGGAGGUCCCACCGAGAUCCGAGAAAGAAGGAAUGAGCUGACGGACACUCUUGGAAGGCUGGCCAGCAUUUUAAAGAAAAAAGAAAAAGGUCUACAAAAUCUUAUUUUCUAAUAACUCCAAAAGAAGAAGUCAAUUCCUGGUCCUGGACUUUAAUUCACCUCUUUUGUCCAAUAAGAGUAUUGUUGGUAAUUAUUAAUAAUUUAUUUCCCUGGUGAU